GCAUACUUCUGCUUGUUCUCUGGCACUUGCUAUCAGUACAAGAAGAAUUUCCUCUGGGUAGUGGCUGCUACUUGUUGUGAGUCUGGGGGAAACACUAUUGGAGGUGACAAGAGUCCAAACUGCAAUGAUGUGCCACAUUCACCCAGCUGCAUCUGAACUGAAGCAGGGCCCCAGCCAAGCCUUGCCUGAGAUCAGCAGACCCUCGAUGACCCACAAAAAUAUUGCUUGAAAAAAAAAAUACACGCACUGAAAAUGGCCAGAAUUGGUGAGGAUAAGUAUCUGCUUAGGACACAGAAGUCAAUUACACCCAAACCCUGGAUGGAAUCAGAAUCAGAAUCAGCCAUGCAAUGAGGAAGAAGAAAUGUAAGUUGCGGCCUGUGAUUCCAACAGUUCUCUUUCUGGAAUGGCUACCAAGAGAAAGUGUCCUGCAAAUCACAGUGUCCAACAGAAUCAACACUGCUAAACACACUCCCACUGGAGUACGGAGAAAGGGGAUCCACAGAAGAGCCUAAUCCUGAACCACUUCCAUGUAUUUGCCCAUCCAUUUCUCCUCUCUGGCCAAUACUCUUCAUAUUCAAAUUCUACCAGUCCUUCAAAGAUCAGAUUAAGUUCCAAAAUUUCAAAAGCCUUCUCAGCCUACUCUUACAGCUGAAUAGUGCAUACCAACUUCAAUUAAUUAUAAACUCAUGUUUCAUUUUGUAUUAUUUAAUAGAAACAUUGGAAUUUAAUCUUUGUGUUUUUUACAU
rnacentral:lncRNA from 10 species